AUGUUGGACAGGAAAUGGCUUGAUUCCAUUAGAUCAAAACACGAUAAGUUUGAUAUGUGUUGGGAGUCCGGGGAGCUCCAGGAGUGCCAAUGGACUAAACAAGGAUUCUUCUCGGUCCAUGCAGAAGAAGAAGAACAUAGUUCUUCUGGGUUCGUGCAGAAGGAGACAAACAGAGAAGAUCGUGUGAGAACUGUGCGCAGAAGAAAGUGA